GACGAACCGUGCGAACGUUGUUCGGAUUCACUGGGCUUAAAGGGCGCGUAGGCGGCUCCUCAAGUCGGGGGUGAAAUCCUCUCGCUUAACGAGAGAAUUGCCUCCGAUACUGGGGAGCUGGAGGGGGAUAGGGGUGCGCGGAACUUCCGGUGGAGCGGUGAAAUGCGUAGAUAUCGGAAGGAACGCCGGUGGCGAAAGCGGCGCACUGGAUCCCCACUGACGCUGAGGCGCGAAAGCCAGGGGAGCAAAC
rnacentral:rRNA from 2 species